UAGAUUUAUGUUAUUCUAAUCCUUGCAAAAGAGGACAGUGCAAUGUGAGGGACAAGAUGUUGGACUGCAAGUGUGACAUCGGAUUUGUUGGAUUUCUGUGUGACGUUGAAGAUGCUCACUUAAAAAAGGCUAAGAAUGUGACUAAAAUCAUCUCUGGAGUCCUGGGAAGCCUGCUCUUGGUUACGAUAGCACUAUUUAUCGUAUACGUUGUCAGG